GUGUCAGCAGCCGCGGUAAUACAGAGGGUGCAAGCGUUAAUCGGAUUUACUGGGCGUAAAGGGCGCGUAGGCGGGAUGAUAAGUCAGUUGUGAAAGCCCAGGGCUUAACCUUGGAACUGCAAUUGAAACUGUCGACCUAGAGUUGAGUAGAGGGGAGCGGAAUUUCCGGUGUAGCGGUGAAAUGCGUAGAUAUCGGAAGGAACACCAGUGGCGAAGGCGGCUCUCUGGACUCUGACUGACGCUGAGGCGCGAAAGCGUGGGGAGCAAACAGGAUUAGAUACCCUGGUAGUCCACGCUGUAAACGAUGAGUACUAGCUGUGGGUAGGCAUGACCUAUCCGUAGCGCAGCAAACGCACUAAGUACUCCGCCUGGGGAGUACGGCCGCAAGGCUAAA
rnacentral:rRNA from 1 species